GUGCGUGUGUGCAAUAACUCAAUUCGCCUUUGCACUCCCUCUAAACAACGCGAUUUUUUUACAACUUUGGCAAAGGGUAAUGUCUACAAAACCUAGUCCACUCUGUUCAUAACAUAUUGUAGUUUUGGGAACAGAAAACUGAAUUGAGAUCAAAUGUUCCAUCGAUGAGAAUUUGCAGAAUUUCGGUCAAAAUCCAUCUUCUCCCACUGCUGGCCACUGAGCUUCCUCUUACUACCAAUGUCAGGCGGUUGCUUCACAUUUAUUUCGAUUUUUUGUUAUUAUUUUGUUUACUUUUUUUUCAUGCUUCACAUUCAUACAUCCGAUGAAAUAUCUGUCUCAUUGUUCUAUCUGUGUUACCGGUGUCCAUCGUUAGUCAGUGCGCAGGUUGAUUUCCUUCCCGCAGUGUCCGGGGGGAGGAGCCAAACAAUAGAAUACCUCGGAGCUCGACGGUAGACAGAUGAAAUAGCUACUGUACUGAGUGGUUACUAAGUGACUCACCAAAGCGAUACAUUGUGUCUGUCGACUCACUUGUUGUCAUUUUGAAUCCUCUGCAGAGAUGACCUCACUUAGCUAGUGUCCUGACCUCUCAGUCCCAGAGAGAGUCCCCAGCCAGGCUACCCUGCCGUGAAAGGACCAGUCAUUGGACAGUAUAGUGACAGUGUGCUGUGUCUACUAGCAUCAUGGCUGCCAGCCAGCAGAAAGGCACUGCAGUUCUGGAAAGUUCAGCAGAGGGAAAGAGAACGGAACUCAGGGCUAAUGAAGUACUGAAGAAAUGCUCAUGGGCCUCUUACAUGACCAACUCCCCCACUGUGAUUGUGAUGAUUGGUCUUCCUGCCAGAGGGAAAACCUACAUGUCCAAGAAGCUAACCCGCUACCUCAACUGGAUAGGAGUGCCAACCAAGGUAUUCAACCUGGGGGUCUACAGGCGAGAGGCUGUGAAAGCCUACAAGUCCUAUGACUUCUUCAGACACGACAACGAGGAGGCCAUGGAAAUCAGGAAGCAGUGUGCUCUGGUGGCUCUGCAGGAUGUCAAAGCAUAUCUGACUGAAGAGGGGGGUCAAAUCGCUGUCUUUGAUGCCACAAACACCACCCGAGAGAGGAGAGAAUUACUCCUUAGUUUUGCAAAGGAACAUGCUUACAAGGUGUUUUUUGUGGAGUCAUUGUGUGACGACCCUGAUGUCAUUGCUGCUAAUAUUAUGGAUGUGAAGGUGUCCAGCCCAGACUACCCAGAAAGAGACAGAGAGAGUGUGAUGGAGGACUUCCUGAAGAGAAUAGAAUGUUAUAAAGUCAUGUACCAACCAUUAGACCCAGAUGAACACGACAAGGACCUGUCCUUCAUCCAGGUCAUCAACGUGGGCCGGAGCUUCCUGGUAAACAAGGUGCAGGACUACAUCCAGAGCAAGAUCGUGUACUACCUGAUGAACAUCCACGUGCACUCUCACUCUAUCUACCUGUGUCGGCACGGAGAGAGCGAACACAACGUGGAGGGACGCAUCGGGGGCGAUGGAAUGCUGUCUGUUCAAGGGAAAAAGUUUGCUGGAGCGCUGAAGGGUUUUGUGGAGCAGCAUGGUCUGACAGACCUCAAGGUGUGGACCAGCCAGCUGGGACGGACUAUCCAGACUGCUGAAGAGCUCGGGGUGCCUUACGAGCAGUGGAAGAUACUCAACGAGAUCGAUGCCGGUGUGUGUGAGGAGAUGACCUAUGAGAUGAUUGAGGAAACCUUCCCUGCGGAGUUUGCCUUAAGAGAUCAGGACAAGUACCACUACCGCUACCCAGGAGGAGAGUCCUACCAGGACCUGGUGCAGAGGUUAGAGCCGGUCAUCAUGGAGCUGGAAAGACAAGGCAACGUGCUGGUUAUCUGUCACCAGGCUGUCAUGCGCUGCCUGCUCGCUUACUUCCUGGAUAAGAGUGCUGAUGACCUGCCCUACUUGAAGUGUCCCCUCCACACAGUUCUAAAGCUCACCCCUGUGGCUUACGGUUGUAAAGUGGACAUGUUUGACCUCAAAGUGGAGGCUGUGAACACUCACCGGGACAGGCCAUUAGUGUGGCCAGUUCUGACCACUGAUCCAACAACUUUCUCCCAAGAGUCAGAUGGAUGAUUAACUACAAUAAAUAGUCGAGUAAUAACAAACUGGCUGAUCAGGGAAGUUGCAGUUUGAAGAGUUCUAGGUAGUAGUGAGUCAAUCCUCAGAAUAUGCAGUUAUCUACAAAAUAGUGUGAGAAAUUGCAACAACGAAAAACAGACCAGCUGAGUCAUAACAAACUGUCUGAUCUGGGAAGUUGUAGUUUGAAGAGUUCUAGAUAGUAGUGAGACAAUCCUCAGAAUAUGCAGUUAUCUACAAAAUAGUGUGAGAAAUUGCACACACAAAAAGACCAGAGUACAGUUUCCACCCUCAACCAUACAAAGGGCCUAUUUGAUGUAAUUUCUCCUAAUUUGGAGAUCUGCUCUGCUUAUACAGUACAGUAUGUAGUUCUGGAAUCAACAGGCCACACUGUCUCAGUGCUGUCCCCGGUACAGUGUGUUUACCAGAUGUUCCAUGUGGUGUGGGCGUUACACUCAAAAACAUGACCAGUGGCCACACUGCCUUUUACUGAGCGUAGCCCUGCUAACAUGUCUGGGAAAGGAACCGCAACACCUCUUCAAUAUUCUGUUGUUUGUUUCAGCUGUAAUGUUUUCACAAGAUGUGUAGCAUGCAAGACACGCGCGCACACACACAGUGAAACUUCUGAUGCUCCAUCCUCUCUCACCAGGAUAAAGUCCGUAAUGACGUCGUUCCCACCACAUUCCUCCGGAGGAACAGUUUCACCCCGCUGUCCAGUCACGACCAGGUGAAGCGACCGCGCCUCUACAGCGCCGGCAACCCACCUCAAUCUCGACGGCCCCUGGCCCCCUUUAUACCCAGCAUGCAGUCCUUCGAGGACCCUGAGGGAGCAGAGUUGACACGAAGCCAAGAGUCUCUCAACUGCUUCAGCCCAGGGGACUCAGAAGAUGCUGUUCGCAGUUGAAGAGGACAGAGACUGGGGUCUCCACUCCCCAACAUCCUCUCUGCCAUCAGACCUGGGUUCAAAUACUAUUUUAAAUGUUUGUACAUAGCUUGAAUGUUUGCUUUAGCCUGCCAGGAGUGCCAGAUGGGCAGUUUUUGCACUUUGGGGGCUUUUCUAUUGAUUUCAUUUCAACAUGCAAGCACAGCUGAAGUAUUUGACAUGAUUUCAAAUAGUAUUUCAACACAGGUGCCCUCUGUAUGUACCUACUGUAGUCCCUCCACUCCAGGAGGAACCAUCACCUAAUGCUCAGGCCUGCUACAUACCAUGCCAGCCUUACCAGUUUGAUUGUCAAGCAGUGGUUCAAGCACAACACCUCAGCCACAAAUGGUCACAGCGUGUGGUUGUUGUAGUGGCCAGAAUUUGUUCUACAGCUGUUUAGUUUCUGUUGACAUCUGUUAGAUAGAUAUUGUGGUUGUGUGAGGGUGAAGAGCGAGAUGAUUUGAGAAAAACAUGGCCAUGCUUGCACACACACUUAUCAACAUUCAAAGUUGAAUUUACUCUAAACAGAACUUUGGGAUGUUUAAAUAGAGGAUAUCUUUGAGGAAAUUUGUCUUAGUGUAAAAUAAAUUGUAUAAAUCUACUAAGUCCCUUAUGGAAGGGGUUGCCACAUGGUAACACUGAACAUUUUAUAAAAAAACAAAGCACUUACUACAAACACUGUCUUAUCCUUUGUCUAUAAUGUACAAUUACUUAAGCUCUUAUGAAUAAUAUAUGUACGUCUUAAAUUGGAUAGUUGAAUAUCAUAGUUUUUGAACAGCCUUGUGACCAACUUUGUUAUUCCUCCGUUAGGCUGAAAGACCACCAUACAGGAUUUAACAUUUCAGCUCAGGGAUUCAUGUUAUUGGUUAGUCACAUGUUACUGUCACAGGUUACAUUUCUGUGUGUGUAUAGUUCACAUUUUACUCUGCAAUUCGGUUACAUAUUUAUCGUCAUGUUAUGAAAUACCAAUUUAUUUGCAUUAUAGAUGCAUCCAUUACACGUCUUCAGCUAAAAUGGCAACUACUACUGUAGUUCCAGUUAAUGCCAGCAUUUAUUCUUAAAUUUGUUAAAAGGACAUUGUGUUUUUACUUUUCCUAACGUUAUCUGCAUGAUUUAGAAUUCUGGAAAAGCACAACAUAAGGAAAGAUACUGUAGGUACGUUCAUACUUAAACUUCACUGAUCUUGCCCAGCAAUGUGUAUCUUAUUGUUAAUUACUGCUAUAAUUAUAUAUGUUAAAUGUGCUGCUGCUCUAAAGUGCCUCUGUGACUGUGUUUAGUAGCAUUACUUUUGUUGCUCUUGCAAGGCUAUGUUAUUAUAUAAAUAGGCAGAAGACCGUAGCCUGUAAGACUACAGUAUACUGAUCUGUAUACUAGCACUAUGCUGUAAAAUGAUUUAAAUCACUGGAAUAUUAGUCAUGAGUGUAAACGAUUCAAUAAAUGAAUGUAUCUGUCAGAAUGUCUUGCUCAUGGCAGUUAGACUUGACUUUGUCCUCUGGUACACAGUGUGGGCAUGGGCAGAUUUAGUGAGCUCCAUUGGGUGGUACCUAUCUGUUUCGAUGUUUACAGCAAUUUCUUCCUGUCUUCUCUAAAGCCAGGACAAGCCUGUGGCAGAACCCUGGAUAUAGGGCAAGAUUCUGAGGGAUACUUCCUGGGAAUAAUAACCUACGGUGCAUUUGGAAAGUAUUCAGACCCCAUUUUAAUGCUUUGUCAUUAAGGUGUAUUGUGUGUGGAUUGAUGAGUAAAAAAAAAAAGAAUCUAGUCAAUUUUAGAAUAAGGCUGUAAUUUAACCAUUUGGAAAAAGGGAAGGGGUCUGAAUACUUUCCGAAUGCACUGUAUGUCCAAUAAAUCACUCAACCUUCUUAUAUUAAACCUAGGUUAUGACCUGUGACACAUCUAGGACUAAUAUAAGUAGCGCCUGUCGAAGACGUAAAGGACAGGUGGUGGGGCUUGGGACCUUUUUAACUGAUUGCAACCAUGAACUUUUUUUCCGGACUGGCCUGUCAUAGGGGAAAUGGGUUGGGUCAAUGGGGUGGGUAUGACACCUACUGUUUACCGUCUGCCCUGGCCUGUCUCUCCCUGUUUGGUACAGAUAUCCCCACCUCUCUCUCCCGAGCUUUUGCUCGCCUCCAGCACACACACACUGUUGGGGAGAGUGACUCUGAACUUACAAUGGCUAGCCCCAAGUCGUUAUAUUUUUCUCUUGUGCUUUAUGCUAUUUGCCUCUGGACUCCUGUGUUCUUUGUUCCUACACUCGGGACUCUGACUCUAUUGGUUACACGGACUCUUGGCCUCCCAUCCUAUUCUAACCACCUCUUGCUGGUUGAUGAGAUUGCUGUACAAUAUGAUAUUGUUGCCAUUUAAUGCACAUUCAAAUGUUAUAAAUCAACACUGCAGAGCUCCCCAUGUCCUAUGCCGUGCCCUGAUUGUUUUACUGCUGAUUAUAUCUGGAAAUGUGCAUGUAAUGUACAAUCUGGCCCAUCAACUUUUGCUAGCCCCAGUUCUGUUUUGUGCUCUGACAUUUGCGUCACUGAUUUCUGCUUUUGUAAAUGCCUGGGUUUUCUGCACGUUAACAAUAGAAGCGUUUUACCUAAAAUGGA